GCCAUCCUUGGGAUACCACCCUUGUAGUACUGGGACUCUAACCAUAGGCCAUGAAUCUGGUCUUGGGACACUGUCAGGUGGGCAGUUUGACUGGGGCGGUCGCCUCCCAAAAGGUAACGGAGGCGCUCAAAGGUUCUCUCAGUACGGUCGGAAAUCGUACGUAGAGUGUAAAGGCAAAAGAGAGCUUGAUUGCAAGACAUACAGGUCGAGCAAGGAUGAAAAUCGGACUUAGUGAUCCGGUGGUUCUGCGUGGAAGGGCCAUCGCUCAACGGAUAAAAGCUACCCUGGGGAUAACAGGCUUAUCUCCCCCAAGAGUCCACAUCGACGGGGAGGUUUGGCACCUCGAUGUCGGCUCAUCACAUCCUGGGGCUGUAGUAGGUCCCAAGGGUUGGGCGGUUCGCCCAUUAAAGUGGUACGCGAGCUGGGUUCAGAACGUCGUGAGACAGUUCGGUCCCUAUCCGUCGCAGGCGUAGGAAAUUUGAGAAGACCUGUCCUUAGUACGAGAGGACCGGGAUGGACGUACCUCUGGUGUACCAGUUGUCCUGCCAAGGGCAUGGCUGGGUAGCUAUGUACGGAAUGGAUAAGCGCUGAAAGCAUCUAAGCGCGAAG
rnacentral:rRNA from 1 species